UGGGGAAUAUUGCACAAUGGAGGGAACUCUGAUGCAGCGACGCCGCGUGAACGAAGAAGGCUUUCGAGUCGUAAAGUUCUUUUAUAUGGGAAGAUAAUGACGGUACCAUAAGAAAAAGCCCAGGCUAACUACGUGCCAGCAGCCGCGGUAAUACGUAGGGGGCUAGCGUUGUCCGGAAUCACUGGGCGUAAAGGGUUCGCAGGCGGAAAUGCAAGUCAGGUGUAAAAGGCAGUAGCUUAACUACUGUAAGCAUUUGAAACUGCAUAUCUUGAGAAGAGUAGAGGUAAGUGGAAUUUUUAGUGUAGCGGUGAAAUGCGUAGAUAUUAAAAAGAAUACCGGUGGCGAAGGCGACUUACUGGGCUCAUUCUGACGCUGAGGAACGAAAGCGUGGGUAGCAAACAGG
rnacentral:rRNA from 2 species